GACGAACGCUGGCGGCGUGCUUAACACAUGCAAGUCGAACGGAAAGGCCCUGCUUUUGUGGGGUGCUCGAGUGGCGAACGGGUGAGUAACACGUGAGUAACCUGCCCUUGACUUUGGGAUAACGUGAGGAAACUGGGGCUAAUACCGGAUAGGAGCUGCUGCUGCAUGGUGGGGGUUGGAAAGUUUCGGCGGUUGGGGAUGGACUCGCGGGUUAUCAGCUUGUUGGUGGGGUAGUGGCUUACCAAGGCUUUGGAGGAUAGCCGGCCUGGGAGGGUGGACAGGCUCAUUGGUACUGAGAUAGGGCCCAGUAUCCUACGGGCGGCAGCGGUCGGGAGUAUUGCACAAUGGGCGGAAGCCUGAUGCAGAGACGCCGCGUGCGGGAUGACGGCCUUCGGGUUGUAAACCGCUUUCGCCUGUGACGAAGCGUGAGUGACGGUAAUGAGUAAAGAAGCACCGGCUAACUACGUG
rnacentral:rRNA from 1 species